UACAGAGGGUGCAAGCGUUAAUCGGAAUUACUGGGCGUAAAGCGCACGUAGGCGGUUGGUUAAGUCAGAUGUGAAAGCCCCGGGCUCAACCUGGGAAUUGCAUUUGAAACUGGCCAACUAGAGUACGUGAGAGGGGGGUAGAAUUCCAAGUGUAGCGGUGAAAUGCGUAGAGAUUUGGAGGAAUACCAGUGGCGAAGGCGGCCCCCUGGCACGAUACUGACGCUCAGGUGCGAAAGCGUGGGGAGCAAACAGG
rnacentral:rRNA from 1 species